UAGACCAUGCUUUUAAGGAUCAUUUCUUAAGUGUGUCUCAACGGUAUCCGAUUCUAUUAAGCGGAUCAACAACAUCACGAUGAUGUGAGAUUGUAUUGAGUCCUGGUCGUGAAACAGGUUUUUCUCUAUCAUUCAUUCCUCGCUUUUAACGACGUGAGAAAACCAUUGAGGAUCAUUCUCGAGAGCUUAAAUUACAUUUUAGGUACUCAAUGCUUUCUGAGUUAA